CCAAUAGCGUAUAUUAAAGUUGUUGCAGUUAAAAAGCUCGUAGUUGAAUUUCGGGAUCAUCAGGUUGGUCGUGCCUAUGGUAUGUACUGAUUUCGAUGGUCCCUCCUUCUUGAAGAGCCGUAAUGCCAUUAAUUUGGUGUUGCGGGGAAUCAGGACUGUUACUUUGAAAAAAUUAGAGUGUUUAAAGCAGGCAAUCGCUUGAAUACAUUAGCAUGGAAUAAUGAAAUAGGACGUUCGAUCCUAUUUUGUUGGUUUCUAGGAUUGACGUAAUGAUUAAUAGGGAUAGUUGGGGGCAUUAGUAUUCAAUUGUCAGAGGUGAAAUUCUUGGAUUUAUUGAAGACUAACUACUGCGAAAGCAUUUGCCAAGGAUGUUUUCAUUAAUCAAGAACGAAAGUUAGGGGAUCGAAGACGAUCAGAUACCGUCGUAGUCUUAACCAUAAACUAUGCCGACUAGGGAUCGGAUGAUGUUAAUUUUUUAAUGACUCAUUCGGCGCCUUACG
rnacentral:rRNA from 1 species